rnacentral:misc_RNA from 1 species
UGAGGUGAUGGAUAUUUAGAAUACUAUCAGGAAACAUUUAAUCUAUGCCUUGUAUUGGUUAUUGCAUUCUUCUGUAUCUUUUGGAGUUGCUCCUCCUUACUCUUGAGCUUGGAAAUUGUGCUGUAGAUUGUUGACAUUUAUAUGUUUUAACUUCUGCAAUUGAGUCAAAUGUUAAAGGCUGUAGCUAUAUUUUGGGUCAUUCAUAUGCACUAGGUGUGAUCCUCAAACCAAUUUCAUACAUUUUAGUCUUUAAAGUUGAUUGAUCACAUAGUGUAAAAAAAAAGAGCAAACUUGUAAUUAUAGAGGUUUUGGAAACCUUAUUGAUUAGUAGUGAGAAUUUGCUACUGAUCUUCUGUUUUUAAGUGACAACACUGGAAAUAAAUUCUUUGUACAGGGUUGCUUUUUGUCAUGUUCAGUUGCAUUUUACAUGACUGGUUAUAUUAAACUGGCCAUUGAUGCAGGAGUAUAAG